AGCUGGCUGACGAGUCUCAAAUAGGACGAAAUGCGCAUAAUCCUGGAU
rnacentral:hammerhead_ribozyme from 1 species